rnacentral:rRNA from 1 species
UACAGAGGGGGCAAGCGUUGUUCGGAAUUACUGGGCGUAAAGGGCGCGUAGGCGGCCUUCUAAGUCGAACGUGAAAUCCCCGGGCUCAACCCGGGAACUGCGUCCGAUACUGGAAGGCUUGAAUCCGGGAGAGGGAUGCGGAAUUCCAGGUGUAGCGGUGAAAUGCGUAGAUAUCUGGAGGAAUACCGGUGGCGAAGGCGGCAUCCUGGACCGGCAUUGACGCUGAUGAGCGAAAAGCUAGGGGAGCAAACGGG